UCCUCAGUAGCUCAGUGGUAGAGCGGUCGGCUAUUAACCGAUUGGUCGUAGGUUCGAAUCCUAUUUGAAGAG